UGAGAUAUUUGAUGACCUCUACAGUUUUA
rnacentral:piRNA from 1 species